rnacentral:rRNA from 1 species
CCGCUAAGCCUAAAUAUUCCCUGGUGACCGAUAGCGGAUAGUACCGUGAGGGAAUGGUGAAAAGUACCGCGGGAGCGGAGUGAAAUAGUACCUGAAACCGUGUGCCUACAAGCCGUGGGAGCGUCGGGAUGGAGCUUGCUCCAUCCUCGUGACUGCGUGCCUUUUGAAGAAUGAGCCUGCGAGUUUGCGGUGUGUUGCGAGGUUAACCCG